rnacentral:rRNA from 1 species
AACGAUGAAGCUUCUAGCUUGCUAGAAGUGGAUUAGUGGCGCACGGGUGAGUAAUGCAUAGGUUAUGUGCCCCAUAGUCUGGGAUAGCCACUAGAAAUGGUGAUUAAUACUGGAUACUCCCUACGGGGGAAAGUUUUUCGCUAUGGGAUCAGCCUAUGUCCUAUCAGCUUGUUGGUGAGGUAAUGGCUCACCAAGGCUAUGACGGGUAUCCGGCCUGAGAGGGUGAUCGGACACACUGGAACUGAGACACGGUCCAGACUCCUACGGGAGGCAGCAGUAGGGAAUAUUGCUCAAUGGGCGAAAGCCCGAAGCAGCAACGCCGCGUGGAGGAUGAAGGUUUUAGGAUUGUAAACUCCUUUUGUUAGAGAAGAUUAUGACGGUAUCUAACGAAUAAGCAC